AGGAAGUAAAAGUCGUAACAAGGUUUCCGUAGGUGAACCUGCGGAAGGAUCAUUAUUGAAAAUAAACCUGAUGGGGUUGUUGCUGGCUCUUCAGGGAGCAUGUGCACGCCUUGUCAUCUUUAUAUCUCCACCUGUGCACCUUUUGUAGACGCCUUUUCCCAAAAGGUGUCUAUGUCUUUCAUCUGCCCCAAUUAAUGUAUGUCAAUAGAAUGUUGUUAUAAUAUAAUCUAUACAACUUUCAGCAACGGAUCUCUUGGCUCUCGCAUCGAUGAAGAACGCAGCGAAAUGCGAUAAGUAAUGUGAAUUGCAGAAUUCAGUGAAUCAUCGAAUCUUUGAACGCACCUUGCGCUCCUUGGUAUUCCGAGGAGCAUGCCUGUUUGAGUGUCAUUAAUAUUAUAUAUCAAAACCCCUUGAGUGGGUGUUUUGGAUGUGGGGGUUGCUGGCCUCUUUUAAAGGAGGUCAGCUCUCCUGAAAUGCAUUAGCAGAACAACCUGUUUCGUUCAUUGGUGUGAUAACUAUCUACGCUAUAGAACCGUGAAGGCAGUUCAGCUCUCUAACCGUCCUUUGGGACAAUUUAUUCAUCUAUAUGUGACCUCAAAUCAGGUAGGACUACCCGCUGAACUUAAGCAUAUCAA
rnacentral:rRNA from 1 species